GACGUAGGGCGCGAGCGUUGUCCGGAUUUACUGGGCGUAAAGGGCGCGUAGGCGGCCACCGCAAGUCAGUUGUGAAAGCUCUGGGCUUAACCCAGAAAGGUCAACUGAUACUGCGGGGCUAGAGUGCAGAAGGGGCAACUGGAAUUCUCGGUGUAGCGGUGAAAUGCGUAGAUAUCGAGAGGAACACCUGCGGCGAAGGCGGGUUGCUGGGCUGACACUGACGCUGAAGUGCGAAAGCUAGGGGAGCGAACGGG
rnacentral:rRNA from 1 species